rnacentral:rRNA from 1 species
UUAAGUUAUUAAGGGCGCACGGUGGAUGCCUUGGCACUAGAAGCCGAUGAAGGACGUUACUAACGACGAUAUGCUUUGGGGAGCUGUAAGUAAGCUUUGAUCCAGAGAUUUCCGAAUGGGGAAACCCAGCAUGAGUUAUGUCAUGUUAUCGAUAUGUGAAUACAUAGCAUAUCAGAAGGCACACCCGGAGAACUGAAACAUCUUAGUACCCGGAGGAAGAGAAAGAAAAUUCGAUUCCCUUAGUAGCGGCGAGCGAAAAGGGGAGAGCCCAAACCAACAAGCUUGCUUGUUGGGGUUGUAGGACACUCUAUACGGAGUUACAAAGGACGACAUUAGACGAAUCAUCUGGAAAGAUGAAUCAAAGAAGGUAAUAAUCCUGUAGUCGAAAAUGUUGUCUCUCUUGAGUGGAUCCUGAGUACGACGGAGCACGUGAAAUUCCGUCGGAAUCUGGGAGGACCAUCUCCUAAGGCUAAAUACUCUCUAGUGACCGAUAGUGAACCAGUACCGUGAGGGAAAGGUGAAAAGCACCCCGGAAGGGGAGUGAAAUAGAACCUGAAACCGUGUGCUUACAAGUAGUCAGAGCCCGUUAAUGGGUGAUGGCGUGCCUUUUGUAGAAUGAACCGGCGAGUUACGAUUUGAUGCAAGGUUAAGCAGUAAAUGUGGAGCCGUAGCGAAAGCGAGUCUGAAUAGGGCGUUUAGUAUUUGGUCGUAGACCCGAAACCAGGUGAUCUACCCUUGGUCAGGUUGAAGUUCAGGUAACACUGAAUGGAGGACCGAACCGACUUACGUUGAAAAGUGAGCGGAUGAACUGAGGGUAGCGGAGAAAUUUCAAUCGAACCUGGAGAUAGCUGGUUCUCUCCGAAAUAGCUUUAGGGCUAGCCUCAAGUGAUGAUUAUUGGAGGUAGAGCACUGUUUGGACGAGGGGCCCCUCUCGGGUUACCGAAUUCAGACAAACUCCGAAUGCCAAUUAAUUUAACUUGGGAGUCAGAACAUGGGUGAUAAGGUCCGUGUUCGAAAGGGAAACAGCCCAGACCACCAGCUAAGGUCCCAAAAUAUAUGUUAAGUGGAAAAGGAUGUGGCGUUGCCCAGACAACUAGGAUGUUGGCUUAGAAGCAGCCAUCAUUUAAAGAGUGCGUAAUAGCUCACUAGUCGAGUGACACUGCGCCGAAAAUGUACCGGGGCUAAACAUAUUACCGAAGCUGUGGAUUGUCCUUUGGACAAUGGUAGGAGAGCGUUUUAAGGGCGUUGAAGCAUGAUCGUAAGGACAUGUGGAGCGCUUAGAAGUGAGAAUGCCGGUGUGAGUAGCGAAAGACGGGUGAGAAUCCCGUCCCCCGAUUGACUAAGGUUUCCAGAGGAAGGCUCGUCCGCUCUGGGUUAGUCGGGUCCUAAGCUGAGGCCGACAGGCGUAGGCGAAGGAUAACAGGUUGAUAUUCCUGUACCACCUAUAAUCGUUUUAAUCGAUGGGGGGACGCAGUAGGAUAGGCGAAGCGUGCGAUUGGAUUGCACGUCUAAGCAGUAAGGCUGAGUAUUAGGCAAAUCCGGUACUCGUUAAGGCUGAGCUGUGAUGGGGAGAAGACAUUGUGUCUUCGAGUCGUUGAUUUCACACUGCCGAGAAAAGCCUCUAGAUAGAAAAUAGGUGCCCGUACCGCAAACCGACACAGGUAGUCAAGAUGAGAAUUCUAAGGUGAGCGAGCGAACUCUCGUUAAGGAACUCGGCAAAAUGACCCCGUAACUUCGGGAGAAGGGGUGCUCUUUAGGGUUAACGCCCAGAAGAGCCGCAGUGAAUAGGCCCAAGCGACUGUUUAUCAAAAACACAGGUCUCUGCUAAACCGUAAGGUGAUGUAUAGGGGCUGACGCCUGCCCGGUGCUGGAAGGUUAAGAGGAGUGGUUAGCUUCUGCGAAGCUACGAAUCAAAGCCCCAGUAAACGGCGGCCGGAACUAUAACGGUCCCAAGGUAGCGAAAUUCCUUGUCGGGGAAGUUCCGACCCGCACGAAAGGCGUAACGAUUUGGGCACUGUCUCAACGAGAGACUCGGUGAAAUCAUAGUACCUGUGAAGAUGCAGGUUACCCGCGACAGGACGGAAAGACCCCGUGGAGCUUUACUGUAGCCUGAUAUUGAAAUUCGGCACAGCUUGUACAGGAUAGGUAGGAGACUUUGAAACGUGAGCGCUAGCUUACGUGGAGGCGCUGGUGGGAUACUACCCUAGCUGUGUUGGCUUUCUAACCCGCACCACUUAUCGUGGUGGGAGACAGUGUCAGGCGGGCAGUUUGACUGGGGCGGUCGCCUCCUAAAAGGUAACGGAGGCGCUCAAAGGUUCCCUCAGAAUGGUUGGAAAUCAUUCAUAGAGUGUAAAGGCAUAAGGGAGCUUGACUGCGAGACCUACAAGUCGAGCAGGGUCGAAAGACGGACUUAGUGAUCCGGUGGUUCCGCAUGGAAGGGCCAUCGCUCAACGGAUAAAAGCUACCCCGGGGAUAACAGGCUUAUCUCCCCCAAGAGUUCACAUCGACGGGGAGGUUUGGCACCUCGAUGUCGGCUCAUCGCAUCCUGGGGCUGUAGUCGGUCCCAAGGGUUGGGCUGUUCGCCCAUUAAAGCGGUACGCGAGCUGGGUUCAGAACGUCGUGAGACAGUUCGGUCCCUAUCCGUCGUGGGCGUAGGAAAUUUGAGAGGAGCUGUCCUUAGUACGAGAGGACCGGGAUGGACAUACCUCUGGUGUACCAGUUGUCGUGCCAACGGCAUAGCUGGGUAGCUAUGUGUGGACGGGAUAAGUGCUGAAAGCAUCUAAGCAUGAAGCCCCCCUCAAGAUGAGAUUUCCCAACUUCGGUUAUAAGAUCCCUCAAAGAUGAUGAGGUUAAUAGGUUCGAGGUGGAAGCAUGGUGACAUGUGGAGCUGACGAAUACUAAUCGAUCGAAGACUUAAUCAA